rnacentral:rRNA from 1 species
UACAGAGACUGCAAGCGUUAUUCGGAUUCACUGGGCGUAAAGGGUGCGCAGGCGGCCAAGUGUGUUAGGCGUGAAAGCCCGGGGCUUAACCCCGGAAUUGCACCUCAAACUACAUGGCUAGAGCAUUGGAGAGGGUAGCGGAAUUCACGGUGUAGCAGUGAAAUGCGUAGAUAUCGUGAGGAACACCAGAGGCGAAGGCGGCUACCUGGACAAUUGCUGACGCUCAGGCACGAAAGCGUGGGGAGCAAAAGGG